rnacentral:rRNA from 1 species
GACGAACGCUGGCGGCGUGCUUAACACAUGCAAGUCGAACGGAAAGGCCCCAGCUUGCUGGGGUACUCGAGUGGCGAACGGGUGAGUAACACGUGGGUGAUCUGCCCUGCACUCUGGGAUAAGCCUUGGAAACUGGGUCUAAUACCGGAUAGGACCGUGCUUUAGUGUGUGCGGUGGAAAGUUUUUCGGUGCAGGAUGAGCCCGCGGCCUGUCAGCUUGUUGGUGGGGUAAUGGCCUACCAAGGCGGCGACGGGUAGCCGGCCUGAGAGGGUGUACGGCCACAUUGGGACUGAGAGACGGCCCAGAAGCCAAAGGGAGGCAGCAGUGGGGAAUAUUGCAAAAUGGGCGCAAGACUGAUGCAGAGGCGCCGCGUGGGGGAUGACGGCCUUCGGGUUGUAAACCCCUUUCGGCAGGGACGAAGCUGUUGUGACGGUACCUGCAUAAGAAGCACCGGCUAACUACGUG